GGACCGCCCUAUGUUUAACGAAUUAAAACUCACACUGUUCGUAAAUAAAUGAACACUACCGCACAAGGCUAUACAGACAGAGGGCACGCUUCAUUGCUAUAGCGUAAUUAAAGGCCAGGUGGGAUGGUAAAGCUAAAUGACUACCAUUAAUUGAUAUUUGACUAAUAUGGUAUUUUAAACUUAUUUUAGGCUGAUCAAAUAAUUGAAAAUUAGAUGUAUUGACGUUUAAUUCCCCGCCCCUGUUUGCACAACAGGAUUAAUAUUGGUAAAUAACAUAUAAUUUUGAUAUCAUUAGCAGUGCAGUCGUAAAAUGAACGGUAAUGAUUUGAAUAAUGAGAUAUUAAUAACAAAACUUUUAACACAAAAUAUAUAUUUAAAGAGGUUUAUGAGAGCUCG
rnacentral:lncRNA from 1 species